rnacentral:misc_RNA from 1 species
CGCACCUUGCGCUCCUUGGUAUUCCGAGGAGCAUGCCUGUUUGAGUGUCAGUUUAUUAUCAACCCCUCCAGCUUUUGUAGUUGGGUAAUGGUGGAUUGGAUAUGGAGGUUUUGCAGGCGCUCCUGAAGUGCCGGCUCCUCUGAAAUACAUUAGCAGAACCGCUUGCAAUCUGGUAACUGGUGUGAUAAUUUGUCUAUGCUAGUGGGAUUGCUCUCUGGAUGUUCAGCUUCUAAUAGUUUCCCACUGAGGAAACAACUUAUAUGAACCUUUGACCUCAAAUCAGGUAGGACUACCCGCUGAACUUAA